GGUUCCAUCAAUUCCUCAUCCUAGCUACCCGGCGCGGGGGGAGGGGGUCCGUAUCUAAGCUCGGGUUCCAGGUCCAGGAUCCGGGCUGCGUUCCCCAGGAGCUCGGGUGCGAGCUCGGUUUCUUGAACAGCCGUGAAGAGACCCCACGUCCAAGGUGGUUCCAGUGUACACACAAGGGUCUUUAAAGUGGAAGAAAGAGGCCAAAGACGUCAGAGUGAUCCAUCGAAAGGUCAUCUUCUGUUGGUGGAUUUCAACAUGGAAAAGGGUGGCUAUGGGCCAUGGAAUAUGGG